CACGGUCCAGACUCCUACGGGAGGCAGCAGUGGGGAAUUUUGCGCAAUGGGGGAAACCCUGACGCAGCAACGCCGCGUGGAGGAUGAAGUCUCUUGGGACGUAAACUCCUUUCGAUCGGGACGAUUAUGACGGUACCGGAAGAAGAAGCCCCGGCUAACUUCGUGCCAGCAGCCGCGGUAAUACGAGGGGGGCAAGCGUUGUUCGGAAUUAUUGGGCGUAAAGGGAGUGUAGGCGGUUUGGUAAGUCUUGUGUGAAAUCUUCAGGCUCAACCUGAAGUCUGCACGAGAAACUGCCGGGCUUGAGUAUGGGAGAGGUGAGUGGAAUUCCUGGUGUAGCGGUGAAAUGCGUAGAUAUCAGGAGGAACACCUGUGGCGAAAGCGGCUCACUGGACCAUAACUGACGCUGAGACUCGAAAGCUAGGGGAGCAAACAGGAUUAGAUACCCUGGUAGUCCUAGCCCUAAACGAUGACUGCUUGAUGUGGCGGGUACCCAAUCCUGCC
rnacentral:rRNA from 1 species